rnacentral:tRNA from 1 species
GCAGGUGUAGUUCAAUGGUAGACCACUAGCCUUCCAAGCUAGAUACGUGGGUUCGAUUCCCAUCACCUGCU